rnacentral:rRNA from 1 species
UGCCAGCCUCCGCGGUAAUACUGAUGGGGUUAGCGUUGUUCGGAAUUACUGGGCGUAAAGCGCUCGUAGGUGGCUUUGUAAGUCAGAUGUGAAAGCCCACGGCUCAACCGUGGAAUUGCAUUUGAUACUGCAUCGCUAGAGUAUAGGAGAGGGAAGUGGAAUUUCUGGUGUAGGAGUGAAAUCCGUAGAGAUCAGAAGGAGCACCGGUGGCGAAGGCGACUUCCUGGACUAUUACUGACACUGAGGAGCGAAAGCGUGGGGAGCAAACAGGAUUAGAUA